rnacentral:rRNA from 1 species
AACGAACGCUGGCGGCAGGCUUAACACAUGCAAGUCGAACGCCCCGCCAGGGGAGUGGCCGACGGGUGCGUAACGCGUGGGAACAUACCCUUUUCUACGGAAUAGCUCUGGGAAACUGGAAUUAAUACCGUAUACGCCCUACGGGGGAAAGAUUUAUCGGGGAAGGAUUGGCCCGCGUUGGAUUAGCUAGUUGGUGGGGUAAAGGCCUACCAAGGCGACGAUCCAUAGCUGGUCUGAGAGGAUGAUCAGCCACAUUGGGACUGAGACACGGCCCAAACUCCUACGGGAGGCAGCAGUGGGGAAUAUUGGACAAUGGGCGCAAGCCUGAUCCAGCCAUGCCGCGUGAGUGAUGAAGGCCUUAGGGUUGUAAAGCUCUUUCACCGAUGAAGAUAAUGACGGUAGUCGGAGAAGAAGCCCCGGCUAACUUCGUG